rnacentral:rRNA from 1 species
GACGAACGCUGGCGGCGUGCUUAACACAUGCAAGUCGAGCGGAGCGGCGGACGGGUGAGUAACGCGUGAGUAAAUGCCCCCCUCCCUGGGAUAACAGUUGGAAACGGCUGAUACUACCGGAUAGUGGGGGAUGACUCGCGUCCUCUCAGCUUGUUGGUGGGGUAGUGGCGUACCAAGUCGACGAAGGGUAGCCGGCCUGAGAGGGGGACCUGCCUCCUAGCGUUGGGAGACGGCGCAAACUCCUACGGGGGGCAGCUGUGGGGAAUUUUGCACACUCGGGGAAACCCUGAUGCAGCAACGCGCGUUCGGGAUGACGGCCUUCGGGUUGUAACCCGCUUUCAGCCAAGACUCGGUAGUGGCAGAAGAAGCACCGGCUAACUACGUGCCAGCAGCCGCGGUAAUUC